UUCUCAUUUGCGCUCCCUUGCAGCCAAGUCCACCAGUCCUCCUCCGCCGCUCCCAGCCUGGAGCGACAAAUGCGGCUGGGAGUGGCUGGACAACCCCGCCAACGACUUCUGCUACCUGAUGAGAGGGAACCAGCUCAAAAGCUGGAAGGAGGCGCGCGACGACUGCAACCGCCACGAUGCCCAUCUGCUCAGUAUCACGGACUCUCACGAGCAGGCCUUUGUGCACGGUCACAGCAAGGCCGUGCUCACCACUCCCUCGCUGUGGCUGGACGCCGACGCCCCCUUC